AGGACUCGGUGGAACUGGUUUGGGCUGGAAAAGCCAUGCUUCAGUGGUCACAAAGGACUUUCAACCUAACUUUUAAAUCACUGGAGGGAAUUGUCUGAUUUUUGAGUAUGUUUGUAUUUGGAGUAUGCUGAUGUGAAUGUGAUGUAUACUUUUAAAGUUAUGAAUAUUGUGUAAAACUGUGUAUUUUCUUGCCUGUAAUAAUUACGUUAGCCCAUUGUGUUC